rnacentral:ncRNA from 1 species
AUACAGUUUCCACCGGGAAAUAAAUUACUAAAGAUAGCUGAUACUUUCGUUAGGUCUUUGAAGAAAGUAUCGACUAUCUUUUUUGUUU